rnacentral:rRNA from 1 species
UACGAAGGGGGCUAGCGUUGUUCGGAAUUACUGGGCGUAAAGCGCGCGCAGGCGGUCUUCCAAGUCAGUGGUGAAAGCCCGGAGCUCAACUCCGGAAUUGCCAUUGAAACUGUGAGACUGGAGUACGAGAGAGGUGAGUGGAAUUCCCAGUGUAGAGGUGAAAUUCGUGGAUAUUGGGAAGAACACCGGUGGCGAAGGCGGCUCACUGGCUCGUAACUGACGCUCAGGCGCGACAGCGUGGGGAUCAAACAGG